UGUGGUAAUUCUAGAGCUAAUACAUGCAAACAGAGCUCCAACCGGAGACGGAAGGAGUGCUUUUAUUAGAUCAAAACCAAUCGGUGGCGAGUUCGCUCGUCAUCGUUCAACUUGGUGACUCUGAAUAACUUUACGCUGAUCGCACGGUCUCGCACCGGCGACGCAUCUUUCAAAUGUCUGCCUUAUCAACUGUCGAUGGUAGGUUCUGCGCCUACCAUGGUUGUAACGGGUAACGGGGAAUCAGGGUUCGAUUCCGGAGAGGGAGCCUGAGAAACGGCUACCACAUCCAAGGAAGGCAGCAGGCGCGCAAAUUACCCACUCCCGGCACGGGGAGGUAGUGACGAAAAAUAACGAUACGGG
rnacentral:rRNA from 1 species